GCGCUGGGUAAGGGUCUUUAUGCAAAAAGCCAAAUCAUCUCUUGAAAUCAAGCACUCGCAAUAUUUAUUCCUCCCUGAGUACCUCCCAUAAAGUUGACUUAUGAAGAAAGCCGUCAACUCGCAAUAGAUGUUGGUUACUACAUUUCGCAAUAUCGCCAAAUACAUUAUAGUGACCAGAAGCAUGUCAUGUGUGAUGCCAUCACACUGAUGAUCGCGGGCCAUAUGGCCUCUAUCAUUUAUCAUAUAGAUAUGAAGGAGGAGUUUCUGUUCUGAUACUAUCAAGAUCCGCGGUCAAAUCGUCCAGGAAGUCGGCUUGGGAACACUCACUCAGACCUCAUUUGUCAAACCUUCUUGUUGAGGGUGGACGACUAUGCGGUAUCGUCGAUUUGGAAAAUGCUGGUUUAAAACGUGAGCUUUAAGAACACACUUGGAUUGUGUGUGGGCAUAAAAGCAACCAUCGGCUUGCGCAGGAUUUCGAAUGUGCAUCUGAAAAGUGCUACGAAAAGGAGUUAGAAGCUGAGCAGUUGCUUUGCAAGCUGAAACCUGUUUACUGAUCUCCACCUCGGCAUCUGUGAGGUAUCUCGAGACAUGGACAUUAUUUUAACAUUGACAAAUUAUCCAUUUAAAAAAAAAAAAUCGAAAAUCGAAAAUCGAA
rnacentral:sRNA from 1 species